rnacentral:rRNA from 2 species
UGGGGAAUAUUGCACAAUGGGCGGAAGCCUGAUGCAGCGACGCCGCGUGAGGGAUGACGGCCUUCGGGUUGUAAACCUCUUUCAGCAGGGACGAAGCGCAAGUGACGGUACCUGCAGAAGAAGCGCCGGCCAACUACGUGCCAGCAGCCGCGGUAAGACGUAGGGCGCGAGCGUUGUCCGGAUUUAUUGGGCGUAAAGAGCUCGUAGGCGGCUUGUCGCGUCGACCGUGAAAACUUGGGGCUCAACCCCAAGCCUGCGGUCGAUACGGGCAGGCUAGAGUUCGGUAGGGGAGACUGGAAUUCCUGGUGUAGCGGUGAAAUGCGCAGAUAUCAGGAGGAACACCGGUGGCGAAGGCGGGUCUCUGGGCCGAUACUGACGCUGAGGAGCGAAAGCGUGGGGAGCGAACAGG